rnacentral:tRNA from 1 species
CCGUCCCUGGCGCACGUGGUCGUCACCGAUGCCUCGAGCGCGUCGUCGGUGCAGGGGUCGGCGACCGUGCGCACGUUCGACGACAUGCUCGGCGGACC